AAGACUAAAAGCUUUUAAAACAAUUACAAAUAAUACUGACCUUAAACUAAACAAAAAGAAAGGAAAAGUAGACCCACGUUCAGUUAGUUAGAAUGAAUUGGACUACUUUACAUGCGAACUAAUUUAGGAAACAUGAUUCAACAACUAAAAGCAAUCAAGGAAAUUUCGUUUCAGCCUUGAACACAAAAGGGUCCACAUGUGUGGAGAGGCAACCGUCAAGUCAUUUGGAUUCUUUCCUUUGUGAGAUGGCUGUUCAG